rnacentral:rRNA from 1 species
GAUGAACGCUGGCGGCGUGCCUAAUACAUGCAAGUCGAGCGAACAGACGAGGAGCUUGCUCCUCUGACGUUAGCGGCGGACGGGUGAGUAACACGUGGAUAACCUACCUAUAAGACUGGGAUAACUUCGGGAAACCGGCGCUAAUACCGGAUAAUAUAUUGAACCGCAUGGUUCAAUAGUGAAAGACGGUUUUGCUGUCACUUAUAGAUGGAUCCGCGCUGCAUUAGCUAGUUGGUAAGGUAACGGCUUACCAAGGCAACGAUGCGUAGCCGACCUGAGAGGGUGAUCGGCCACACUGGAGCUGAGACACGGUCCAGACUCCUACGGGAGGCAGCAGUAGGGAAUCUUCCGCAAAGGGCGAAAGCUUGACGGAGCAACGCCGCGUGAGUGAUGAAGGUCUUCGGAUCGUAAAACUCUGUUAUUAGGGAAGAACAAAUGUGUAAGUAACUAUGCACGUCUUGACGGUACCUAAUCAGAAAGCCACGGCUAACUACGUG